CUCCUUAUCCCUUCGCACCCACGCCUAGCGAUCGAAGCCGCCGCAAGUCACCGCCGCUAGCCUGGAGGCCUCAUGCCGCCACCGCUCGCCCCUUUCUCUGUAGGUCACCCACGCACCUGGGACCCGGGGCCGUUUCCUCCUCCCCACCAGGCUCGAGGAGGCCCGAGGAGGUGACCAUGAGGAGCGCGCAGCCGCCGGAGCCAUGGGUAGAUCCAGCCGGGACCGUCGGCAACCAUCCCUCCUUCCGGCGGCGAUGAAGAAUUGAAGAGGCUUGAGGAGAAUGGGCGCAUGGGCCGUGCGCGUCUCCCGCGCUAGGAGCCACCGGUCCUCGUCAUCUGCUAGGAUCCACGAGGAAUCGAUACAUAUAAUGUUUGCGAGGAGCUCGGUUAGUGUUGAUGCCUCAAGGGUUUAUGCAUGUCAGUUCCAUGUUGCUUAAAGCCACUGUAACCAUGGCUACUGGUUUUCAGAUUCAAAAGAAGCAUAAUGGAGUUGCAGCUGAACCGUUCUUCUGUUGGAUGAAGAAGCAAAUGUAAUUAGAAGAUUUUACUUAGCAAUAAUUGUAGUUUGCAUUGAUAGAUUGAAAAAUGUAACACCAUUCAGAAGAUCUUUUUCUUUGGUCGAAUUGAUGCAAAUGCUAUGGUGUAAUAUUCUCCAUAGAUGUGUUCUCUAUAGUAAAAUAUAUAUGAAUGAUAUGCUGUCUAGCCAAUAACAUUGGUAUGUAUUUAUUGUAAUGCAUAUGUAUCCUACACUCGUAUAUUCAUAAUAAAUACCUUGACAUUUUCAA